rnacentral:rRNA from 1 species
GACGAACGCUGGCGGCGUGCUUAACACAUGCAAGUCGAACGGAAAGGCCCUGCUUUUGUGGGGUGCUCGAGUGGCGAACGGGUGAGUAACACGUGAGUAACCUGCCCUUGACUUUGGGAUAACUUCAGGAAACUGGGGCUAAUACCGGAUAGGAGCUCCUGCUGCAUGGUGGGGGUUGGAAAGUUUCGGCGGUUGGGGACGGACUCGCGGCUUAUCAGCUUGUUGGUGGGGUAGUGGCUUACCAAGGCUUUGACGGGUAGCCGGCCUGAGAGGGUGACCGGCCACAUUGGGACUGAGAUACGGCCCAGACUCCUACGGGAGGCAGCAGUGGGGAAUAUUGCACAAUGGGCGGAAGCCUGAUGCAGCAACGCCGCGUGCGGGAUGACGGCCUUCGGGUUGUAAACCGCUUUCGCCGGUGACGAAGCGUGAGUGACGGUAAUGGGUAAAGAAGCACCGGCUAACUACGUG